rnacentral:tRNA from 1 species
GGAGAGGUGCCAGAGUGGACGAAUGGGGCGGUCUCGAAAACCGUUGAACCGUGAGGUUCCGAGGGUUCGAAUCCCUCCCUCUCCGCCA